CAGGGCAGGGUGCCGGUUAACUGCCGGUGAAGGCGACUUCAAGGAAAGUGCAACAGAGAUAUACCGCGUAAUGGGCGGCCCGCCUUCGGGUGGGCGGCCUCCCCACGGGGACGCAAGGGUGGAAAGGCGAGGUAAGAGCUCACCAGCGGCAUGGCGACUUGUCCGCUCUGUAAACCCCACCUGGUGCAAGAUUGAUAGGGAAGCAUGAGGGGGUCGGCAAUCCUCGGAUUGUCUGGCCCGUUCGCCGCAAGGCGAAUCGAAGCCCUUCGGGGCCUUGCCUCUGCGGCGGCCCGUCGCGCUUCCGGGUAAUCGCUCGAGCCUGCUGGCAACUGCAGGCCCAGAUAGAUGAUCGUCCAAUACAGAACUCGGCUUACAGACGCCGCUCACAA
rnacentral:RNase_P_RNA from 1 species